rnacentral:pre_miRNA from 9 species
UCUCGACAGCGUAAAAGUUAAAUCCAAUUUGUAUGUAGUAGGAGCGUUCGCCUACGUUUGCCGCUAGAAGCACUGUUUCAACUGCAUACAAAUCUGCGUUAACUUUUACGCUAUCGA